GGCUGGGUAGCUCAGUUGGUUAGAGCACGGGACUCAUAAGCCCGGGGUCGGCAGUUCAAAUCUGCCUCCAGCCACCA
rnacentral:tRNA from 1 species